AUGAAAAAUUGGAUUUCCUUGGGAUCUUGUAACUGGAAGAGGUUUUCCACCAAUCUUAUAAUUCUUACUUUUGUGGUCAUCAUGACGUUUGCAGUCUGUGUGUUCUUGGCAGAAAGAAAGGGGAAUAAAGAUGAUAAACAAGAUGAACCUGAGAAACCAUGGAGGAAACCACAGACAGCACACAGCCCCAAAGGGCGGAAUAUAUCAAAGCUAAACAAAACAAUAAGUGAAGACUCAGAGGUUUUGGAAAUUGGACCAGUAUUGGUUCAAAAAUCUGAAAAUUAUAUGACUGAAUCAAUACAUUCUGAAAAAAUCAUGAUGAACAACAUGUCUAAAUCAACAAUGCAGUUAAAGUCAAUAACCAAAUCAGUUUUAUCAUCCUCAACUACUGUUGUUCCAACAAGUGAAGUCACAACAAAUGCAGAAACAUCAAUGCUUACUUCCAGCAUUCCACAAACAUCUACUGCCAUUGGUACUUCACCCACACAGACUUUGUCUGUAUCUGAAACAAGUGAAUCCAUGACACCUACAACUUCUUCCACACCUACCAGCUCGAUACAAGCAUCAACCACUUCCAAUGUUGAAACUACAAAAACAAGUCUGCCAAGUGCCUCAAGUACCAACAUUUUCACAACUCUUUCCACAUCGCCAGUGACUUCAAUAUCUGCAAGUGAAACUACAGGGUCAGUCUUAUCAUCCUCAACUACUGUUGUUCCAACAAGUGAAGUCACAACAAAUGCAGAAACAUCAAUGCUUACUUCCAGCAUUCCACAAACAUCUACUGCUGUAGGUACUUCACCCACACAGACUUUGGCCGUAAACUGAAACAAGUGAAUCCAUGACACCCACAACAUUCUUCCAAACCUGCCAGCUCAAUAGAAGCAUCAACCACUUCCAAUGUUGAAACUACAAGAACAAGUCUUCCAAGUGCCUCAACUACCAACGUUUUCACAACUCUUUCAACAUCGUCGGAAACUUCCAUAUCUGCAAGUGAAACUACAGGGUCAGUCUUAUCAUCCUCAACUACUGUUGUUCCAACAAGUGAAGUCACAACAAAUGCAGAAACAUCAAUUCUUACUUCCAGCAUUCCACAAACAUCUACAGCCAUUGGUACUUCACCCACACGACUUUGGCCGUAACUGAAACAAGUGAAUCCAUGACACUACAACUUCUUCCACACCUACCAGCUCAAUACAAGCAUCAUACUUCCAAUGUUGAAACUACAAAAACAAGUCUGCCAAGUGCCUCAAGUACCAACGUUUUCACAACUCUUUCAACAUCGCCAGUGACUUCAAUAUCUGCAAGUGAAACUACACGGCCAGUCUUCUCAUCCUCAACUACUGUUGUUCCAACAAGUGAAGUCACAACAAAUGCAGAAACAUCAAUGCUUACUUCCAGCAUUCCACAAACAUCUACAGCCAUUGGUACUUCACCCACACAGACUUUGGCCGUAACAGAAACAAGUGAAUCCAUGACACAUACAACUUCUUCCACACCUACCAGCUCAAUACAAGCAUCAUACUUCCAAGUGUUGAAACUACAAAAACAAGUCUGCCAAGUGCCUCCACUACCAACGUUUUCACAACUGUUUCAACAUCGUCAGAAACUUCCAUAUCUGCAAGUGAAACUACAGGGUCAGUCUUAUCAUCCUCAACCACUGUUGUUCCAACAAGUGAAGUCACAACAAAUGCAGAAACAUCAAUGCUUACUUCCAGCAUUCAACAAACAUCUACUGCCGUAGGUACUUCACCCACACAGACUUUGGCCGUAACUGAAACAAGUGAAUCCAUGACACCUACAACAUCUUUCAAACCUACCAGCUCAAUAGAAACAUCAACAACUUCCAAUGUUGAAACUACAAGAACAAGUCUGCCAAGUGCCUCAACUACCAACGUUUUCACAACUCUUUCAACAUCGUCGGAAACUUCCAUAUCUGCAAGUGAAACUACAGGCCAGUCUUCUCAUCCUCAACUACUGUUGUUCCAACAAGUGAUCACA
ensembl:lncRNA